CCUACGGGUGGCAGCAGUGAGGAAUAUUGGUCAAUGGACGAAAGUCUGAACCAGCCAAGUAGCGUGAAGGAUGACUGCCCUAUGGGUUGUAAACUUCUUUUAUAAAGGACUAAACCGAGAUACGUGUGCCUUUUUGUAUGUACCUUAUGAAUAAGGAUCGGCUAACUCCGUGCCAGCAGCCGCGGUAAUACGGAGGAUUCAAGCGUUAUCCGGAUUUAUUGGGUUUAAAGGGUGCGUAGGCGGCCGGUGAAGUUAGCGGUGAAAGUCUGAGGCUCAACCGUGGAAUUGCCGUUGAGACUGGGUGGCGUGAGAGUGUUUGAGGCAGGCGGAAUGCAUGGUGUAGCGGUGAAAUGCUUAGAGAUCACGCAGAACACCGAGUGCGAAGGCAGACUGCCAAGCCAUGACUGACGCUGAUGCACGAAAGCGUGGGGAUCAAACAGGAUUAGAUACCCUAGUAGUC
rnacentral:rRNA from 1 species